AUACGUAGGUGGCAAGCGUUGUCCGGAAUUAUUGGGCGUAAAGCGCGCGUAGGUGGCUAAUUAAGUCAAAUGUGAAAUCCCCGAGCUUAACUUGGGAAUUGCAUUCGAUACUGGUUAGCUAGAGUAUGGGAGAGGAUGGUAGAAUUCCAGGUGUAGCGGUGAAAUGCGUAGAGAUCUGGAGGAAUACCGAUGGCGAAGGCAGCCAUCUGGCCUAAUACUGACACUGAGGUGCGAAAGCAUGGGGAGCAAACAGGAUUAGAUCCCCUGGUAGUCCAUGCCGUAAACGAUGUCUACUAGCCGUUGGGGCCCUUGAGGCUUUAGUGGCGCAGCUAACGCGAUAAGUAGACCGCCUGGGGAGUACGGUCGCAAGACUAAAACUCAAAUGAAUUGGCGGGG
rnacentral:rRNA from 1 species